rnacentral:rRNA from 1 species
GUGGGGAAUAUUGGACAAUGGGGGGAACCCUGAUCCAGCCAUGCCGCGUGUGUGAAGAAGGCCUUUUGGUUGUAAAGCACUUUAAGCGAGGAGGAGGCUACCGAGAUUAAUACUCUUGGAUAGUGGACGUUACUCGCAGAAUAAGCACCGGCUAACUCUGUGCCAGCAGCCGCGGUAAUACAGAGGGUGCAAGCGUUAAUCGGAUUUACUGGGCGUAAAGCGCUCGUAGGUGGCCAAUUAAGGCAAAUGUGAAAUCCCCGAGCUUAACUUGGGAAUUGCAUUCGAUACUGGUUGGCUAGAGUAUGGGAGAGGAUGGUAGAAUUCCAGGUGUAGCGGUGAAAUGCGUAGAGAUCUGGAGGAAUACCGAUGGCGAAGGCAGCCAUCUGGCCUAAUACUGACACUGAGGUGCGAAAGCAUGGGGAGCAAACAGGAUUAGAUACCCUGGUAGUCC